UCGAGCGGAAAGGCCCUUCGGGGUACUCGAGCGGCGAACGGGUGAGUAACACGUGAGCAACCUGCCCCAGGCUUUGGGAUAACCCCGGGAAACCGGGGCUAAUACCGAAUAUGACCUCUGACCGCAUGGUUGGUGGUGGAAAGUUUUUCGGCUUGGGAUGGGCUCGCGGCCUAUCAGCUUGUUGGUGGGGUGAUGGCCUACCAAGGCGACGACGGGUAGCCGGCCUGAGAGGGCGACCGGCCACACUGGGACUGAGACACGGCCCAGACUCCUACGGGAGGCAGCAGUGGGGAAUAUUGCACAAUGGGCGGAAGCCUGAUGCAGCGACGGCCGCGUGAGGGAUGACGGCCUUCGGGUUGUAAACCUCUUUCAGCAGGGACGAAGCGUAAGUGACGGUACCUGCAGAAGAAGCGCCGGCCAACUACGUGCCAGCAGCCGCGGUAAGACGUAGGGCGCGAGCGUUGUCCGGAUUUAUUGGGCGUAAAGAGCUCGUAGGCGGCUUGUCGCGUCGACCGUGAAAACUUGGGGCUCAACCCCAAGCCUGCGGUCGAUACGGGCAGGCUAGAGUUCGGUAGGGGAGACUGGAAAUUCCUGGUGUAGCGGUGAAAUGCGCAGAUAUCAGGAGGAACACCGGGUGGCGAAAGGCGGGUCUCUGGGCCGAUACUGACGCUGAGGAGCGAAAGCG
rnacentral:rRNA from 1 species